CAUGACGUAGCACGGAGGGGCGGAGCGAGAAAGAGAGACUUGUCAACUUCCGAAAAUCUCGGUUCAAAACUGAACCGAAAAUGCAAGACUUGCUUUAAUUGUUUUCUGUCAGUUCAGUUUUGAACCGAGAUUUUCCGAAGUUGACAAGUCUCUCUUUCUCGCUCCGCCUCUCCGUGCUACGUCAUG
rnacentral:pre_miRNA from 1 species